rnacentral:rRNA from 1 species
AACGAACGCUGGCGGCAUGCCUAACACAUGCAAGUCGAGCGAGAUCUUCGGGUCUAGUGGCGCGCGGGUGCGUAACGCGUGGGAAUCUGCCCUUUGGUUCGGAAUAACAGUUGGAAACGACUGCUAAUACCGGAUGAUGACGAAAGUCCAAAGAUUUAUCGCCAGAGGAUGAGCCCGCGUAGGAUUAGCUAGUUGGUGUGGUAAAGGCGCACCAAGGCGACGAUCCUUAGCUGGUCUGAGAGGAUGAUCAGCCACACUGGGACUGAGACACGGCCCAGACUCCUACGGGAGGCAGCAGUGGGGAAUAUUGGACAAUGGGCGAAAGCCUGAUCCAGCAAUGCCGCGUGAGUGAUGAAGGCCUUAGGGUUGUAAAGCUCUUUUACCCGGGAUGAUAAUGACAGUACCGGGAGAAUAAGCUCCGGCUAACUCCGUGCCAGCCGCCGCAGUAA